AUUUGUUUACUUCAGCAGAAAAGUUCCCGAAUCUCUAUAUGGAUCGUAUACAGGGAAAGCAAGAUCCUAUAAAUUUGGGGAAGCGCAUGCAAGUAAGAACCUGCAGAUCUCUGUAGCUUCAGUAACCAGCUUUGCAUAAUCAAAGCUUGUUUGUUUAAAAAAUUUUGUGUAUGUUAUUCUGGGUUGUUUUGGAUUAGUCUUUGUUCUUCUGGGUUGUUUUGAGAGCUCGAUUGUGAGUUCGUAGAAAUGGCCAUGGAAGUAACAUGUGUUGAAGCGCGUUGAACCCCUCUCUGUUAUCUAAUUUGAAAAUUGCUGUUAUUAUGCUUGAUGGGUAUCGCAAAAUUGUGUAAAAUUGGGAUUUUAAACGCUGCCUGAAGUUUGUUUUGAAUUGAAUUCUGAGUUGUUGUCUUCUUCUGAGGGUUUCUCCUUUUCUUUUUUUGAAGGGUGGAUUAUCAUGCUCUUUUUUAGUUUCUGGAUUAUCCUCUGAAGUGCCCAUUUUUACAGUAAUAUUUGGCUCCUUGCAUAAUCGCAUUCUGUGCUACUGAAUGGUUGAUAGUUUCACAAAGUUCGGAGUUCUGUGUUUUUAAGGUUAAAGCAUUUUCUCUCUUCCAGGGUAUUGUUUUUUUCUCCCAAGAGAAACAUCUGUGCUUGCAGCUAUGGAGUUCUAAUGAAUGAUGAUUUGAGCUUUUUGAAGUUUUAAGGUUUGAGCAGAUUUAGUUGCCCAACAAGACAGGAACAAAAAUUAAGUUGCAAGAAGAUGGCGAUGGCUGCUUCUGUGAAACUAGUACUGGGUUCAAUUGCCUUUGCAAUUUUCUGGAUACUAGCAGUCUUCCCGGCUGUGCCUUUCCUGCCUGUUGGGAGGACCGCGGGGUCUCUUUUAGGGGCUAUGCUUAUGGUAAUCUUCCAAGUCGUAACCCCAGAUCAAGCAUAUGCUGCAAUUGAUCUCCCGAUCCUCGGUCUUCUCUUUGGGACUAUGGUUGUUAGUGUUUAUCUUGAAAAAGCAGAUAUGUUUAAAUAUUUGGGUAAGUUGCUUACAUGGAAAAGCAGAGGAGCCAAGGACUUAAUUUUUCGAAUUUGCCUGGUUUCUGCCAUUUCAAGUGCCCUCUUCACCAAUGACACCUCUUGUGUUGUUUUGACUGAAUUUGUACUAAAAAUUGCAAGGCAACAUAAUCUCCCACCUCAUCCAUUCUUACUAGCCCUUGCCUCAAGUGCAAAUAUUGGAUCGUCAGCAACUCCCAUCGGAAAUCCUCAAAACCUGGUCAUAGCUGUUCAGAGUAAGUUGUCCUUUGGAGAAUUCUUAUUUGGAAUUCUUCCUGCAAUGCUAAUGGGAGUUUUUGUCAAUGCUUUAAUUCUCCUGUGCAUGUAUUGGAAGUUAUUAUCUGUUCAAAAGGAUGAAGAAGAUGCAGCUGCGGAAGUGGUGGGUGAGGAUGAUAUGGUUUCUCAUCGGUUUUCACCAGCGACAAUGUCACAUAUGACAUCACCAAAUUCUCAAGAAUGGAGCUCUGCAUUGGGAUCUGUAAGUUUCCGCAAGUCUCCUAAUAUGAUAGGAAAUGCAGGCCAUGUUGAGAUUCUUAGAAGCCGAAUAAAUUCGAUUGAGAAUGAUAUCCAGAGAGUCCCUAGUGGUGGAUUGGACUCUGCAAGGGAUUCAAAUGUAUCAAAAGAGGUGACAAAUGAUUUAUCAUCUUGGAGAAAGGAGGAAAAUUUUCUUUCAAGAAAUGUUUCAUCAAAGGUUGGAUUGAGUGAUGCUUUAUCUAUGCAGUCUUCACGAGAAAAGGAGGGUUUGACCAAGAGAUGGAAACAAAUCCUAUGGAAGGCAGGUGUUUAUGUUGUCACUGUGGGAAUGUUGGUUUCUUUGCUUAUGGGUAUGAAUAUGUCAUGGACUGCAAUUACUGCUGCUCUUGCACUGGUGAUUCUUGAUUUCAGGGAUGCUAGGCCAUGCCUAGAAAAGGUCUCUUAUUCAAUCUUAAUAUUUUUUUGCGGAAUGUUUAUCACGGUUGAUGGCUUUAACAAAACUGGGAUCCCAAGCAAUAUUUGGGAGAUCAUGGAGCCUUAUGCACAGAUUGAUAAUGCUAAAGGGGUAGCAGUUCUUGCCCUUGUCAUACUUGUACUCUCAAAUGUGGCUUCAAAUGUGCCGACUGGAAGACAAGACGGUGGCACUAAUAUGUUCCAUCAUUUUGGCUACUUGUGCUGAUGUAGAAUGGAAAGAGGAUGUGAUGACAGUUGUGUACAAGAAAGGGUUGAAGACAACUACUGCCUCUAAGCUUGCUGCAUGUUGUCUCAUUACAGUUGGGGAUUUGUGCAGGUUGCCCUUAGAUAGAGAAGGAUAUGCAACGUAAUCCUCCUCGAGCGACAUUGACACUUCAGUUUGUUAAGACUACUUGUGGACUUGUGCAUGAGAAGUCAGCUGAGCAAUUGAGUAAAGGAGUUCAAGACUUUGGAUAAGCAUUCCUAAACAACUUGUAAGGUCCAACCUGCAAUCGAGUGUUGCAAAUGCCAGGGUUUUGAGCAUCGUACUGUGCAUGUCCUAAUCAAGUCAUGGCAAUUGCAAAAAGAGAAGAUGAUGAUGAUGAUGCCACCCAAGUAAUUGAAGCUGAGACAAAAGUCCCAAGUGACUUAGAUGAAAAUGGCAGUGUGAAAACUUCUUAUUACUUUGACCUAUCCUUUCUUCCCACAAGGUUGAAGAAAACAUGAAGAUUGGAGACGUACCAUCAUUUUUUAGACUCCUGGUGAUUUGUCAUGAGUAGCUUUAUAGUUUGGUCGUUGAUCCCAAUAUUUGUACACACAUAGUUUCUGAAUAAGCUGUGGUGAAGUUAAAUAUGGAGGUUGAACUGCAUCCCGAUCCAUACAAGAUUGCUCGAGUGAACAAUACCAACUUGAAGGAAGGUUCAUGAUCAAUGCUUGCUUACUUGGAAGGUUGGUUCAAUUGUGGACACAGUGCAUUGUGAUAUCCUUCCUCUGUAGAUUGUCAUAUCCUUUUGGGAUGUCCAUGGUUUUUUUAUAGGAGAGUUAAGCAUGAUGUUUAUGAAAGUUCUACACCCUCUUCAUCGAUAAGUAUUGAUGCCAUCUCAAGCUCUUCCACUCACCAAAUUGAAGCACGGCUGGUUCCUUUCUCAUGAAAUGAAAUGAUUUUUUCACCAUUCCAUGGUAUUGGACUCCUCGGUACUUUCCCCAACUCAAUGGUGUUGAUCGAAUGGAGGGAACUGGUUUAGGAUGGGAAACAGUUCUAUUGCUUGGAGGACGGGUGGCAGCAUCAGCUGCUGCAAUUUCUCCUGCAGAUGAGAAGAAAUCGUGGCUCAUUUUGGCUUGGGUCAGCACUGUGGCUGGGAAUCUUUCACUUUUGGGGUCCGCG